rnacentral:rRNA from 1 species
GACGAACGCUGGCGGCGUGCCUAAUACAUGCAAGUAGAACGCUGAAGGAGGAGCUUGCUUCUCUGGAUGAGUUGCGAACGGGUGAGUAACGCGUAGGUAACCUGCCUGGUAGCGGGGGAUAACUAUUGGAAACGAUAGCUAAUACCGCAUAAGAGUAGAUGUUGCAUGACAUUUGCUUAAAAGGUGCAAUUGCAUCACUACCAGAUGGACCUGCGUUGUAUUAGCUAGUUGGUGGGGUAACGGCUCACCAAGGCGACGAUACAUAGCCGACCUGAGAGGGUGAUCGGCCACACUGGGACUGAGACACGGCCCAGACUCCUACGGGAGGGAGCAGUAGGGAAUCUUCGGCAAUGGACGGAAGUCUGACCGAGCAACGCCGCGUGAGUGAAGAAGGUUUUCGGAUCGUAAAGCUCUGUUGUAAGAGAAGAACGAGCGUGAGAGUGGAAAGUUCACACUGUGACGGUAUCUUACCAGAAAGGGACGGCUAACUACGUG